rnacentral:pre_miRNA from 1 species
GGGGACAGGGAUGGGUGUGGGGGUUAUAACAGUCGCACCUCACACCUUAACCUGUCAACUAU